rnacentral:rRNA from 1 species
UACGUAGGCAGCGAGCGUUGUUCGGAGUUACUGGGCGUAAAGGGUGUGUAGGCGGUUGUUUAAGUUUGGUGUGAAAUCUCCCGGCUCAACUGGGAGGGUGCGCCGAAUACUGAAUGACUAGAGUGCGGGAGAGGAAAGUGGAAUUCCUGGUGUAGCGGUGAAAUGCGUAGAUAUCAGGAGGAACACCAGUGGUGUAGACGGCUUUCUGGACCGUAACUGACGCUGAGACACGAAAGCGUGGGUAGCAAACAGG